ACCCCCUCUCUUUCAUCUCGAAUUGGGCAUUCAUAGUUUCACCUCAGCUAGAUCUAAAUAUCACAGCUGAUGCUCGAGUAAUUGUAAACUGCAUGCAUUAUUUGUUGUUUCACCCUGAUAAUCAAAAACAGCUAUGGUAUUUUGUUUUUUUAACCUUUGGGGUGACUUUUAAAGAGCUAAAAUGGUUGAAAUUAUUUUUACGCUAGUGGAAAGGAAACUCUGUCUCGGGUGAUGAUGUAUUAUAGUCGUGCGCUGUACUCUGCUACAGAGUCCUCGUGUGAUGACAUCCACCUGUUACCCUUCAGAUGCUUGAUUUACACCUCAUCCCACCUAUUGUUGAGUGUGAGUCUUCAACAAUCAAAUGGAAUUCAACGCUCUCAAUGAUCUCAUACUUGCGGAACCAGGAGGCUGUGAAUGGCACUUUGGCCCAACAGAGGCACAACCUGGCCACACUGACCAACCUACAGUGUGAAAAACUCCAGAAGCUGGAGGUUGUUCUUGAACAGGGUUCAAGAACAACCUCCAGCUCCAAGUAUGUCCCUCUCUCAAGCACACACACUCACUCAUACACACACCUCCCCUCUCUCUCCCCCUUUCAUGCACUAACCUCCAUCUCUCUAUCAUACCUUUCUUCUUUCCCAAUAAAGUGAGUUCAUUAUUGCCAUAUUUUUGUUCCAUUGCAGACAUGUGACUGAGCUGCUUGGAGUUGACAGCUAUGUGUCAUGCUCUGUUGUGCUCCCCGCAAUCUACCAUCUCAACUGUGUCCUGGAGCCCACUGAUGAGGAUCUGGGCUACAUGAUAAAGUUCAAAACCACCUUUUUAAAGGACCUGGACGCACGCAAAGCCGAUAUAAGCCAAUAUUCAGAUGGCUGAAGGUGGCCACAGCCCUUGACCCACGAUUCAAGGACUUAAAGAGCCUACACAAAAAUGAAAGAGAUGAGGUGUGGACCUGGAUUGAUGAGAUGCUGCAACGGUCAGAAGCAGGACCUGCCCCUCCUCAACCCACAGAGGACAAGCCAGCAGCAAAGAAGAGCUUCCUCCUGUUGUGUUCUUCAGACUCUGACUCUGACAAGGAGGAGCAGGGGCUUCUAGCCCGCUACAAAGCUGAGCCGUGCCUUGGAAUGCAUGAGUGUCCACUGGAGUGGUGGGCAGUUCACGCAGGAGCCUAUGGACAACUGUCCUCUCCUCCUCUUGCUCGCAAGUAUCUGGCUACUCCUGCAACGUCAGUGCCAUGCGAGAGACUCUUUUCACUCGCAGGUAACAUCAUACAGAAGAAGAGGGCAGCCUUACACUCUGACAAUGUAAACAAGCUUGUCUGUCUGAGCAACUGGCUGAAGAAGACAUAAUGUUGUCUGUUGUUACAUCCUGUGGGUUUUUGAUUUCAGAGGUUGAUACUUAAACCACAGAUCCACUUUUGGGGUUGAGGUGUUGUGCCCCAGAUACU